UCGCCUGUUUAUCAAAAACAUGUCCUCUUGUUAAUGAUAUGAGGUUUGACCUGCCCACUGAGGAUAGACUUGAAGGGCCGCGGUAUUUUGACCGUGCAAAGGUAGCAUAAUCAUUAGUCUUUUAAUUGAAGGCUAGAAUGAAUGGUUGGACGAGGUAUUGACUGUCUCUGUGUAAUUGAUGUUAGAAUUUAACUUUUGAGUGAAAAGGCUUAAAUGUUUUUAGAGGACGAGAAGACCCUAUAGAGCUUUAUAUUUAAUUAUUUAUAAUUUGUUUAGUAGGUUUAUUGAUAUAUUUAAUAAAAUAUUUUGUUGGGGUGACGGGAAGAUAAAUUAAACUCUUUUUAUUUUGAAACAUUGAUUUUUGAGUUAUUGAUCCAUUUAUAGUGAUUAAAAGACUAAGUUACCUUAGGGAUAACAGCGUAAUCUUUUUCGAGAGUUCUUAUCGACAAAAAGGGUUGCGACCUCGAUGUUGGAUUAAGGGUAAUUUUGGGUGUAGAUGUUCAAAGUUUAGGUCUGUUCGACCUUUAAAUCCUUACAUGAUCUGAGUUCAAACCGGAGA
rnacentral:rRNA from 1 species